GUGCUGGGGUCUGGAAGGUGGAUACUGCUGCUUCCUGACAGCUGUCAAGGCAAGAAGAGACGCAUGAAGCCAAGGGAAGCAAGCGCUGGCUGCAGGUCUACAUUGGGGAAGCUGGGCAGGAUUCUCCUGCUCUGCUGCGAUUUCAGGUGGUGGCUUUAAAGUUUAAAGGGACCAGCGAGUGCUGUUGUUGCUCUGGGCUAGGAAGCCGAGCUCACCACACCUCUCUUGGGUUGCAGGGGGAUACUCACUCCUGUUCCCUGAGCCACCUGCAAGCGCUGCACAGCCAGCCACUGCUCAAACAGGAGAGACAGGGUCCUUUUCUUCUGGAGACAUCCAGUGACUGGUGACUUUUCACAUAAAUAACCUCAAAGUCUAAGUUACAGAGAAACGAGGUGGGUUUCAGGGAGAGAUUUUUCUAGGGGUCUGUGGGGGCUGUACCUAUACUCUAUCUUAACACUUUAACAAUGUACUUAUCUGCUGGCUGCCUCCUUUCUCCCUUGCAGAGGACCAACAAGCCUUCCAUGCUCAAGCAUGAACAGUGAGUGAGCGAUGAGCCUCCCACAACCCCGAGCCCUACACCACGACCCGCAUGGGUUUGUGGCUGCCUGUGGUAACCUGGGGUGAAGCUGGGAACAGAAGUUGAAAAACAGAGGAAAUACACCGGGAUCCAAGUACCCCUGGCCCUCAUGACCCGACCCCUGGAGAAGCAGCCAAGUUACCCGACAUCGUGAUCAGCAGGAGCUGGGCUGGAGGCUGGAGGCUGCAGCUUCAGAGACUCAGCACCUAGGAGGGCUCCUGUGCAGGGAGAAAGGCAGAGAUGCGACAUUUUUAAAGUUUCACCAAACACGAGGCAGCACCCAGGUCCCUGGAGUAGGAGACACACAGAAUUAAUGUUUUAUACCUUCGGGUAUAGGUUUGAGUUUUUUCCCCCUCAUGCCAAGUAUUUAAAACCUCUAGAAACCCAUGAUUUGACAAUCAAUGAUUGCGCGAUACUUUCAAUUUGAAUAUUCAAAGGCUUAACAAAAUGGACUAUCUUCUGCAGAAAUCCUGCACACAGGCACCCCACAGAGAGUCCAGAGAAACAGGGAGUGAGAGGCCUUUGGGUCCUGACCCUUGCUUUUCUCCUAUUUUAAACAUUUUAUCCACCUCCCCACAGACAGAGCAGGUGUCUUCAAAGAUGCUCCAUGUUCUUGCCUCAAAGGCAGCUCAGAAGCCCCCACUGACCUAGGCUGCUCCUCCGGGAUCACCCCAGCCAGGCUGGCUAGCCACAAGGAUUCUCACCUGUCCAAUCUCCAUUUUAAGGGAGAAAUCUCAGGUUUUGGAAAGUGAACAUGGCAGCCAGUGGGUGUGGCACAGCAAAUGGCCACUUUGGGCCCAGGUGGCAGGCCAGAGGACAGCAGAGGCCUAAGCUUUGCAUUUCAUAUUCCCCUGACCCUGCCUGACCGCUUGUGGGCUUCCCUCUGGAUCCAUCCUCCCUCCUGCUAGGCCGCAGACACUGGGCUUCCAGAAAGAAGUCCUUGCGCAUCAGCACUCCCUCUGCUCCUUGGAGAGUCGUGGAUCUUCACCACUGCCCUGGACCGGCUGAGAUUUCUCUAGCCUGGGAUUCCAUCACUGUACGCUGGCAUUCCAGAUUCUGUAUUUUUUUCCAACUUCUUCUUCCUCUGCACCCCAGUCUUUUUGCCUCAUAGCACCUCUGCUUGUUUUAGAGAAGGAUAUGGGGUUUAUUUCGAAGGCUCUGAGGAGAGAGGUGGGGGGAUUUGGAGUCGAGCGGCCUCAUUGGACCCCUCACGAGUAACCCAGGCCUGUGCUGAUGCACAUUCCCCAAGCACUGCCUGGGUUGCUCUCUGGCCUGUGAUUUGAAAGAUGGGAGAGACUGGGGUGAUCUAGAAUGCCAGGCCAAGUCUCCACAGCGAUACAAAAGGGUCUCCUUUGGAAAACAAAAAUCUAGAUAUCUCCAGGACUGCAAAUAAAGUGAUAGUACAGGACUCUAUUCUUGAAUCCUUGAGUUCUCUGAAAUGAAAAACAAAAAGUAGUAAGCCUUAGCUCCCAAGACCUUUAGAAAAAAACCUGAAAAAUUAAAAUGCAUUAAAUAUAGUAUGUUAGACAUAGGGUAUAACAAUCAGCUCAGCUCAAGGACUUCUGGGGAUAAUAAAAGCAUGAUGGGUAGAGCUGUCUGUCAGGCAGGUGGAGCCACAUAUCUGGGAGAGGAUCAAGGUUCGGGAAGCUUGAGGUAGCAUCUGGUGGUGGAGGGUAGGGUAAGGUGUGGCUGUAUUUGGUCCAGCUGGCGUUUUUUCAGCCACUGGAACCGAUUUCUGCAAAGCCAGGCCUGAGGACCAGACCAGGGAAGGACCUGCCCAGCACUUCCUGCUUGCAGUGCCCAAUGCCUCUUUUUUCCUUUUUGUCUUGGUCUUAGUUUUGGCUUGCUUUUAAGAAGCUUUCCUUUUUGUUCCUUUGGCUUUUUUUUGUUUUUGUUUAUUCUUCCCCACAUCUUCUAAUCCUCGUUUUUCUUUCUAUGGAUGAGUUUCUUCACUUCCUGUCUGCACUCUCUGACUCUAUAUGUGCCUCCCUUUGCCCUAUUCUGGAGCGCCGUCUCAUUGUUUCAGAGUAAAUACUCUUCCUCAGCUCCCCACUCACAUACAAAUGGGCAGAGGAGGCCUGAGGUUACAGUUUUCCCUUGGCAACAUCAAGGACAUUGAUGCUAGCGACUGGAUCUGAAGCCUGGGGUCUGCAGAGACAACAAAGAGCAAUGACAUCUGCAUCUUUUCUGCCAGAAGCCUUUGCAUGAGCCAUGGCCCCUGUCCUGGGGCUUCUGUGUGUUGCUGAGAUUGAGAGAGGGGGUCUGUUGCUGCUAAGCAACUACAGAAAACUAUUUCUUCAGGCGGGUUUUCAGAGUCUUCCCCCCCUGUCAUCUAUACUAUAGGUCAACCGAACAUUAAGGGAUUUUGAUUCUUGUUCUUGUAACUGAAAAGCCUCAGAACCGACAUUUCAGAGCUAAAAGCCCCCUUUCAUAUCUGUGUGUGUGUGUGUGUGUGAGAGAGAAAGAGAGAGAGAGAGGGAGAGAGAGAGAAAGAGAGAGAGGGAGAGAGAGAGAGAGAGAGAGAGAGAGAGAGAGAGAGAGAGAGAGAGAGAGAGAGAGAGGAAUAUACCCAGAGUAACCAGCCAUUUUUUUUUUGCCCAGUGAUUCCAAAUGCCUAUAGAACUGGGUACUCUUCUUGGUUGUACAUCCAUCCAUCCAUCCAUCCAUCCAUCCAUCCAUCCAUCCAUCCAUCCAUCCAUUCAUUUUGGUGUUGAGAUAGAAUCCAGGGCAUGCUGGGUAAGCACUCUACAACUGAACUACAUUUGCAGCCCAUAGAAGAUUAUUUAAAGUUCUCAUCUGUUGUUUCCUGGGUGCUAGAUCUAUGUUGUGUAGUGUUCCCACCACAGAGCUGAAGAAGCUGACUUAGAGGGAUGUACAUCUUGCCAAGUUUAGGAAGCACAUAAAUGACAGAACUGGGCUUUCAACUUUUCUAAGUCUCACUCCAAAGUCCUUGCUGUAUUAUCAGUUUGUCCAAGGAGCUUAAGACUGCAGCAUACUGAUGCGGAAUUGUCUAGAAACGCCGAACCUGGAAGAAGCAUCUGGCUAGAGAUGAAGACAAGCUGUUCAUUAUGCUGACUGUGGUUUGCGUGCCCCCUCUUCCUGGGGGCUUGUUACUAGGUGGAGCAAGAAAUUGUGGGGUCUGACUGGCUGUCACGGGCUCCUUUGCUUACAACAACACAGUGUCUUGAUGCUGAGCGUUGGAAGAGACCUUGAAAGGGACUGACAUCUUGGUCAGUGGCUGUCUGGCUUGUUGUUCUAUUGCUGGGUCACAGAAAUUUCUGUGUGGAGACGAGUCUGACUACUGGUUAGGCAGACUUUGCCAUUACUGGAAUCGUUAAAUGGAGUGAUGAGUGAUUGAUCCAUAAGUCAACUAGAAGUUCCUACACCAGGCAGGGCAAUGAGUACCAGGAAUACAAAGAUAAGUAAGCAAUGGCUCUGUUCUACCACGCUAAGCACAUUGCUGCUUUUCUAUUGUGGGUUCUUUCACACAUCCAUUUACCAUUUAUUCAAUAAUCAUGUGCUGUUUUCUCUGGCCAGUCAGUGCUUGCUUUUCACUCAAACCUUUCCUUAAAGCCACGCUCCCCAGUUUCCCCCAUUCUUCGUAAAUCAGCUUUUCAGAUCUCUGCUUUUCCACAUCCAAGGUCAGAAAUCCUUUAGCUUGUCACUGACCUUCAUAAAAUCAUCCAGCAGGACCUGCAGUGAGUAGAAUGGAUGUUUUUAAUGUGGAAAGUUGAAUGUUUUUAACUGAAAACGGAAAAAUAUUGAUGGUCUUUUGUAUGUGAAUGACUGUACAGCAAUAUGCUUUUCCCGCCAAAGUAGGUUUUAUUAAACUUAGACUUGUACAUAUUAAAAGACCUUUGAUAUAAGGAAAGGUGUGGUUUAUUCCUUCCAAAUUUGACUACAGCCCUUUAGUAAUGCAAAGUUCUUUUGUCACCUUUUGAGACACUGUUACUGAAUGCUGUGGGAAAUAUCAAGUUCCAAAAAGUUGAAUACAUAGAAGAAACAAGUAUUUAUUGGUCCUUAGGGUACACAUUUGGUUCAUGUGAAAAUUACCAAGAAGCUAGUAGAUGGCGGUGAUGUAAGAUUCUGUACAUAGUUUCUCCUCACAGUAUAUAUUCAAUUUAGACUUUACGAAGAAAAGCUUAUAAUGAACCAGCUUUUGAUCAUUUAUUAUUUAGGCAAGAAGAGUGCCAUAUACACUGCUUGUAGCAUUUCUGUUUUACUUAAAACAUUUUUAUCGUACCAUAUUUCUAACAUAUAAAAUUGUAUAGAGAAUACUGUCAUGAAAAUUGUAAAUGCAUCACCCAGGUUGAGGAAUAAAAUGGCUGAGUGAUUGUACAUUUAUGAACUACUAGGCAUUAGAACUUCUGGAUUAUUCCACUCAAGAUGUUUGGUUAGGGGAAAAGUCUAUCAUUUGUCUUAAUAUAAAGCAUAUUAUUUGUUUGAUGAAGUUUUUCCUUUAGGAUGUGUAGCUUUUCUCCUGUUCUUGUAAUGCAAACCUUAUGUCUUAUUGUUCAAAGAUGCUUAUGUGUCACAUAUCUAAUAAAACGUGAUGUCAAUGUUUGCAAA